rnacentral:rRNA from 1 species
GAUGAACGCCGGCGGCGUGCCUAAUACAUGCAAGUCGAGCGAACGGACGAGAAGCUUGCUUCUCUGAUGUUAGCGGCGGACGGGUGAGUAACACGUGGAUAACCUACCUAUAAGACUGGGAUAACUUCGGGAAACCGGAGCUAAUACCGGAUAAUAUUUUGAACCGCAUGGUUCAAAAGUGAAAGACGGUCUUGCUGUCACUUAUAGAUGGAUCCGCGCUGCAUUAGCUAGUUGGUAAGGUAACGGCUUACCAAGGCAACGAUGCAUAGCCGACCUGAGAGGGUGAUCGGCCACACUGGAACUGAGACACGGUCCAGACUCCUACGGGAGGCAGCAGUAGGGAAUCUUCCGCAAUGGGCGAAAGCCUGACGGAGCAACGCCGCGUGAGUGAUGAAGGUCUUCGGAUCGUAAAACUCUGUUAUUAGGGAAGAACAUAUGUGUAAGUAACUGUGCACAUCUUGACGGUACCUAAUCAGAAAGCCACGGCUAACUACGUGCCAGCAGCCGCGGUAAUACGUAGGUGGCAAGCGUUAUCCGGAAAUAUUGGGCGUAAAGCGCGCGUAGGCGGUUUUUUAAGUCUGAUGUGAAAGCCCACGGCUCAACCGUGGAGGGUCAUUGGAAACUGGAAAACUUGAGUGCAGAAGAGGAAAGUGGAAUUCCAUGUGUAGCGGUGAAAUGCGCAGAGAUAUGGAGGAACACCAGUGGCGAAGGCGACUUUCUGGUCUGUAACUGACGCUGAUGUGCGAAAGCGUGGGGAUCAAACAGGAUUAGAUACCCUGGUAGUCCACGCCGUAAACGAUGAGUGCUAAGUGUUAGGGGGUUUCCGCCCCUUAGUGCUGCAGCUAACGCAUUAAGCACUCCGCCUGGGGAGUACGACCGCAAGGUUGAAACUCAAAGGAAUUGACGGGGACCCGCACAAGCGGUGGAGCAUGUGGUUUAAUUCGAAGCAACGCGAAGAACCUUACCAAAUCUUGACAUCCUUUGACAACUCUAGAGAUAGAGCCUUCCCCUUCGGGGGACAAAGUGACAGGUGGUGCAUGGUUGUCGUCAGCUCGUGUCGUGAGAUGUUGGGUUAAGUCCCGCAACGAGCGCAACCCUUAAGCUUAGUUGCCAUCAUUAAGUUGGGCACUCUAAGUUGACUGCCGGUGACAAACCGGAGGAAGGUGGGGAUGACGUCAAAUCAUCAUGCCCCUUAUGAUUUGGGCUACACACGUGCUACAAUGGACAAUACAAAGGGCAGCGAAACCGCGAGGUCAAGCAAAUCCCAUAAAGUUGUUCUCAGUUCGGAUUGUAGUCUGCAACUCGACUACAUGAAGCUGGAAUCGCUAGUAAUCGUAGAUCAGCAUGCUACGGUGAAUACGUUCCCGGGUCU